AUGUUGAUCAAGUUCCUGCAUGGCCUCUCAAAGACACACCGACCCAACGUUAUCUUUCUUUCUGAAACAAGAAAAAAUAAAGAGUAUGUUGAGAGUUUGCGCUACCGCUUGGGUAUGAAAAAUGUGUUUGUUGUUUGUGUGCCAGGAAAAGAUGGUGGUGUAGCAGUUUUUUGGGAUGACCUUUACACUCUGCAGCUGAACAAAUACGAUGAACAUUUUAUUGAUAUGUACAUUUGCAAAGAAGAUGGCAGUAAGUGGAGAAGUACCUUUGUCUAUGGUGAACCAAAGGCGAGCCCAAGGUAUGUGAUGUGGGAACUGUUAAGGCGAAUUAAACCGCUUGGGGCCGGACCAUGGUUUAUGGUUGGUGAUUUUAACGAGGCUAUGUGGCAGAAUGAGCAUUUUUCUCGUAACAAGCGGUCGGACAAACUUAUGGCAAAUUUUCGUGAGGUCUUAUCUGAAUGCAAUUUAUUUGAUUUGGGAUUUUCAGGUGUUCCUUGGACUUACAAUAACAAGCAGGAAGGUCACAAAAAUGUGAAAGUGCGUCUUGAUCGUGCGGUGGCUUGUCCUCAGUGGUCCUCCAUGUUCCCUAAUUGCACGGUCUCACAUAUUAUCAGCUCAAGGUCAGAUCAUUGUCCUCUUCUUAUAUAG
rnacentral:rRNA from 1 species